GAUGAAGAACUAGCGAAAUGCGAUAAGUAAUGUGAAUUGCAGAAUUCAGUGAAUCAUCGAAUCUUUGAACGCACAUUGCGCCCGCCAGUAUUCUGGCGGGCAUGCCUGUUCGAGCGUCAUUACAACCCUCAGGCCCCCGGGCCUGGCGUUGGGGAUCGGCGGAAGCCCCCUGCGGGCACAACGCCGUCCCCCAAAUACAGUGGCGGUCCCGCCGCAGCUUCCAUUGCGUAGUAGCUAACACCUCGCAACUGGAGAGCGGCGCGGCCACGCCGUAAAACACCCAACUUCUGAAUGUUGACCUCGAAUCAGGUAGGAAUACCCGCUGAACUUAAGCAUAUCAAUAAGCGGAGGA
rnacentral:misc_RNA from 1 species